UUCCAGAACAUUUCCUCAAGAAGAACCCAUGGACAGCUCAGGACUCACCGGAGCAGCUGCCCAGGACCGACAGACCCUGGGGUAUGAUGGGCAUGAAGGGUUCACCUCCCUCCCAUGAAAUACAGGCUGCCUCUGGCGCUCCACAGCCGGCUCAGGCCCCCAGGCAUGUGCAGCUCUCAGAGCACCUCUCAGCAGGUCUCCAGACAACUUCUGCUGCUUUGAUCUCCUGGCCGAGAGGACAUCGGUUCCACUUCAAACAUGUUUACAACCUGUUUAUUUUUGUGGAACUCGGGGCUAUUUCUGCCACAGAACAUCUCAGAGCUAUGGACGGGCAGAGCCCACUGAUGCAUUCCAGCCCUUUCAUGAAAUCACCUCAAGAAUAAACAACAAUAUUCCCCUUCUGACAUGAUCAGUACCUGACUGCAGAAAAAUACAUCAAGGACCACCCAGCCCUUCGCUCCCUGAUCUAUUCCUAUAGAACAAAGCUGCGGAACAUAAGGUUCUUCUCAAAGGUAACAAGAAAAAAGAAAAUUACAGCUUUAUGUAAUGCCAGAGCACUUCAGCUCUGCUGAAACAAGGACAAGACUGCAGCUCACCAGCAGCCAUGGCUCCGUUGCCUAAAUGAAAUGGGAGGCAGCCUGGGUUUGGGAAGCUCAUGGAGCUCAAGCAGUGCAGCAGGUCCUAGCAAAGCUUGGAGUGAUGGAUGGGCUCUAGGAAGCAGCUCCUGGUCACUCCUGGCAGAACCACCCCAGACCUGACCACCAGCUCACAGGGCUCUUCCUUUGCUUGGUACUUUAAAGCAAGAAAAACGAUGUUAAACUCUGCAGUGUUGCUCUCUUGGGAGCAAUGUUGCUGCAUGCUUGUUUGGGAGGGAAAAAUUUAAAGAAAUUUAAAGAAAUUAGCGGCUGGAAUGGCCUGUGGUCAGCAUCACUUGACCAAACUGGUCCAAAAAUUCUCAAAUUCUUCAGUACAGACCUUCCCCACAUCUCCAUUUACCAGUUUGCCAUCUCCAUCAGCACAGAUUUCAGGAUCUUCUUUCCAACAACACGGACGUGUCCCUCUGUAAUCCUGAUGACACCCAGCACAUGGGUUUGUCUUGUCACUUUGCUGCUUGGCUGAUUUCCCAUGUGUGGGAAUAUUUCCCCGCUUUAGUCAUUUCAGAAACCAUCCAAAAGCUUUUCCACUUGAAUAAGAGCGAGCCCAGGAUGAGUUCUGGCUCUGGGGAGGAGAGCUGGAGCUGCUGUCCCACAUUCCCAUCUCCGGGCGCAGACGGAUGGUGCUCGAUGGUGCAGAGGGAGGAGGUGACAGGUACAGAAUUCUGGCACGGAGCUCAGAGCCUGCUGCUAGUGCUGCAGACAGCGAGGGAGCAAGCAGAGAGUCAGCAGUGGAAGAGUUCUCAGCAUGAGCAAGCGCUGCAGGCACUGCAGGAAGGAAGCUGCAGCACCAGCCUGGUGCCAGCACAGGUGUCCUUGUGCCAGGUGAGCUUCAGGUGAUUGGACAUGGUGACAUCUUAACAGGGAAGGGCAUUUCAGUAACAGCUGCACAACUGGUUUGAGCCAGAGAGUUACCAGUACCACCAGCAAGCUACAGACCCAGCAGUGGCUGCUCUCACAGUCCCAGCACCGGGACAGGCAGGGGGAGACGGGGCAGGGCAGGGAGUGGAGGCAGCCACAGCUCCACACAAACCUGCCUGGACAGGACCUGGAGUCACAGAAUGGCCUGGGGCUGGAAGGGACCUUAAAGCCCAUCCAGUGCCACCCCAACCUUCCACUGUCCCAGGCUGUCCAAGCCCUGUCCAGCCUGGCCUUGGGCACUGCCAGGGACCCAGGGGCAGCCCCAGCUGCUCUGGACACCUGUGCCAGGGCCUGCCCACCCUCACAGGGAAGGAUUGCUUCCCAAUAUCUCACUCCACCUUUUACUCAGCAGCUGCAUUUUCUGCUCCAUCAAUACCCCCUCCCUCUUCCUCUCUGUCCAAAAGGCUGUCAGCUGACUCAAAAUCAGGCUGGAAGGUUUUAUGUUGAACCGAGUGCUUUCAAACUGUGUUAAAGCUCUUAAUUAUUAAUAGAAAAGUUGUAAUGUGGCAGCAGGGAGCCAAAGCGGCAGUUUAGGAGGGAAGUGUUGGUAAAUCAGGAGCCAGUGCCUUAGUCAUGGCUUCUCCAUCGUGCCACAGCUUCUAACAUGAGAUAAUGCUGCAAGGCUGGGUGCAUUAGUCACCAACAAAUUCUGUUUGCAAUUAAGCAGAAUUCAACAGCCCUCCAGAAAUCUCACUCCUCUCUGGCAUUCAAUGCACUGCAAUCUUACAUCCCCCUGAAAAGAAAACUCUCCCAUCUGCCACCCCAACAACCAUAUGGGAUCCUUGGAAAAUGAAGGAAAUUAAAGUCCCUGUGGGAUCACAGCUCCCAGCUCAGCUGUGGGGGGUUUGGGAGGAUCAAAUAUUUGAGCUAAACACAUCCUGUGCCCCAGGCGGCCCCACGGCACUGCCGAGCUGGCUCUGCCAGCCACCAGCAGCUCAACCUGAGCUGUGUGCCUGAGGGUGACCUCCUUUUGGGAGCUCAGAGCUGCAGGGAAGUGAGGGAUACAGAAGGACACUGUCCUUGCUGCCAGCCUCCACCACCUGCCCUGGGGGAGGGCAGCCCUGACCCCUGCCCAAGGCUCCGGUAGGUCCAGCCCUGCAGCACCCACCCCGUGCUGCCCCAGAGCCCUGGCAGCCUGGCUUUGGGUGCAAAGUGAGGGCAUUUGGUCCUUGUUUCCCCACGCUGAGCCCUCCUCUGGCUGGCAGAGCUGUUCUGCUGCAGGAGCCAGGAGGGACCCUGGAUGGCCAAGGCAGGCAAUGGGGGAUCCCCUGCUCUGCCCCACAUGCUCCCAGGGGGAAAAACAGUGCUCUGCCACCCCCCAAGGAGGGUACAGACUUUGGGAUGGCAGCAGCAACUCCCCCCAGGAGCUCUCCAAAGGGGGAGAGGUUCCUUUCACUUUUUAAGCAGUUUCUGGAAACGACCAGAACAGUUAUUCCCCACUGCAAAAAAUUCAUUCCUGGCUAAGGAAUAUUCCCAACAUAACUUGAUAGGAGGCCACUUCCAGGCUCAGAUCCUAACAGAAAACAAAGACAGUUCCUUUGAGCCUCAUUAGCACCACGGGCUCAAACUCUCAUUUUUUAGAGUGUAAAUCUCCUCUCUGCACAAGGAGCCAACACUGCCCACGGAGAGCACACACAGUGGAAAAACAAUGGGAUUACUUGGGCCUGAGAAGGUGAUUGAAAAUAAUGGAUGAGUAAAGACAAUGCAUAAUAAUUUUCUGCA